AUCUUACGUUUUCUUUUCAGGCCAUGUCUCCAGAUGGUGAGGCCAUAGUGACAGGAGCAGGCGAUGAGACACUAAGGUUUUGGAAUGUCUUUAGCAAAACCCGCUCCACAAAGGAAUCCGGAUCCGUUUUAAAUAUGUUCACAAGGAUAAGGUAAAACCAAACAAGGUGGCCUGGAACAGAUGUCAGUCAUCCUUAAAAAGGAGAGCAAGAGGAAUUCAAAUGCUUCAUGUGGACUCCUUUAUGCAGACUCUUCAUGUGCAAACAAAAUAAAUCAACCAAGAGCACCAGUUCUCCAUUGUUUACAGACUGCCAAAUUUGGAUUUCUUGUAAAUGUUUGUUUUGUAUUCCUGUUCCUUGUUUGUGAUGUGCGAUUGUUUUCUCUUUUAAUUUUUCAGUUUCCGUUCUCUGCAUUAAGGAAAGGCAGAUUAAUCUGAAGUAGAAUGGUCAAAGUCAAGCAGUUUAGCAUUACUGUUCCCGAAAUGUCUCUGAGUGCACAUAUUCCCCUUUUCAGUCUCGAUUUUCUUUUUAUUUGAUGCAAUCAACGUACAGGAAAGAAGUUGAAGUGCACAGGCGGACAAGAGGCAUUCAUCCAGUGGGAUCAGACUGGAGUCUGGAAAUGUAAUUUUCAGCACAUCAUGACAUUCAAUCAGCUUCAUUUUUUUUUUCUUCUUAACUAUAGUCGAAAUAAGGUUUAGAAUUUUCUAGAAAGCACUUGAAUGACUUAUUUUUUUCCUAAUUGGAGAUUUUCUCUCCCAGUUCACAAAACAUUACAAAAAGGCUUUGCAAGUUGUUGCUCAUUUCCUGAUCACAUUCAGAGUCCUGCCGCUGCGCGUGUGUGGUGCGUGCGUGCGUGCAUGUGUAUGGUGGUUGUUUUUUAUUUUUAUGUUUUCAGUUUCUGCCAUCAGGAUGUUUUUUUAUUCUCUAGUGUGUUUUGUAAAUAAUUUGUAAAACAUGAGUUGAGCGUAUUGUAAAGUGAAUAAUUGUAACAUCCAGACAAUAUAAUGUUAAACCAAAUGUUUCCUGUUUA